UACGGGAGGCAGCAGUGGGGAAUAUUGCACAAUGGGCGAAAGCCUGAUGCAGCUAUGCCGCGUGUAUGAAGAAGGCCUUAGGGUUGUAAAGUACUUUCAUCGGGGAGGAAAAAACAAAACUAAUAAUUUUAUUUCUUGACGUUACCCGAAAAAGAAGCACCGGCUAACUCCGUGCCAGCAGCCGCGGUAAUACGGAGGGUGCUAGCGUUAAUCAGAAUUACUGGGCGUAAAGAGCACGUAGGUGGUUUUUUUAAAGUCAGAUGUGAAUCCCUGGGCUUAACCUGGAACUGCAUUUUGAAACUGAAAUACUAGAGUAUCGUAGAGGGAGGUAGAAUUCUAGGUGUAGCGGUGAAAUGCGUAGAUAUCUGGAGGAAUACCUGUGGCGAAAGCGGCCUCCUAAACGAAUACUGAC
rnacentral:rRNA from 1 species